UACGUGGGUGGCAAGCGUUGUCCGGAUUUACUGGGCGUAAAGAGCGCGCAGGCGGUCGUACAAGUCGCGUGUGAAAGCCCCCGGCUCAACUGGGGAGGGUCACGCGAUACUGUUCGACUCGAAGGCAGGAGAGGGAAGUGGAAUUCCCGGUGUAGUGGUGAAAUGCGUAGAUAUCGGGAGGAACACCAGUGGCGAAGGCGACUUCCUGGCCUGUUCUUGACGCUGAGGCGCGAAAGCUAGGGUAGCAAACGGG
rnacentral:rRNA from 1 species